rfam:Triticum aestivum genome assembly, contig: Triticum_aestivum_CS42_TGACv1_scaffold_592437_7BS
UUACUACUCCUUCCAUUCUGAAUUACUUGUCGCUCAAGUAGAUGUAUCUAACACUAUUUUAGUGCUAGAUAUAUCCAUUUGAGCGACAAGUAAUUCAGACCGGAGGGAGUAAACG